CAUGCUAUCAGAUUUUGUUCGCACAUGCAAAGGUUGGUUCAGAUUUGCUGCAAUGAGCAGAGGAGCAUCAUUCAUGCAUCUCAAUUGUGAUUCUUGUUCUUAUCCGUUCGUCCUUCUCCCGAGGUGGUCCAAGCCGUGUAGCUAUUUCUACUCCAUCCAAGGAAGCGAGCUAGCAGGUGCAGCUGGAGGUUUGGGUCACGAACGUACGUGACCUAGCCCAAACUCGGGAUUGUCACCUCAGCAGGCUCUGUCGCCGGCAUGGAGCGCAUCUCGACGGCAUGCUUUGCGGCAGCGACUCCUGCUAGUUGCCCAGUUUCAUGGUGCAUGGAGCUGGGGCACAGAUAGGUGAAGGCGUGGGACCAGCAGAGUGCGUGGAAGGACUGGGAGCUCUCUGCAGCGGCGGAAAUAUGGCUCCAGAUGCCGCCGUUUUUGGACGUGCGAAAAAAUUGGGAGUUGGAUUGGGCAUCUGUUGGAGCUGUGAUUUUCGUAUUUGCUCCCAAAAUGAGAUUUUUGGGUAGAGCUUUGGGCACUCUUGGAGAUGCUCUUAGAAUCUCUUUCCUUGGAUAUUGAUGCUAUCAUUUAAGGGUUUAUUUUUAACACACAUUGAUUGAUCCUCAUGCUAUGAUAACAAAUUCUAUUUCCAACA